GCUAAAAAUCUUUAUUUUUUCCAACCGAACUAUAGGAGAUUCAGGCAAAAAGAGCUCUUCAGAACUCUGUAUUUCCAGCUGCACUGGCAAUGAAGAGGUGGAGUACAAGCCUCUCCCUGGUGGUCUAAGAAAUGGUACUAAAAAAGAGACUAGGACAUCUGGAGAUGCAGAGGUGAGUUUAUGUUGUUAGUUGUAUUCCCAUCUAUCUAAGCUGUUGGAGUAAUUUCUUGUAACCAUCCCAAGUCCCAGUCCUUAAGAAUGUUUACUGGAAUGACCUCAUCCCUUUUGUCUCUGUCUGGAUUGCAUUCCUUGCACUACAGAUUGCCAAACAUUACACAGCAACCUGUUCGAUAGCAUACUGGGUUUUGAACUUAUUGCAGGUACGAUCUUGCUCUAAUCCUUGGUUUACACACAUUUUGAACUUACUGAGAUGUGGUUACAAAAUUUAAGUACAGUAGUUAUUUGAUUUAAAAGAAUUACACUGUUUACAUUUGGGACAACAGAUAGGAAUGUUAUCUCUUUACAGCUAGUUUACAAGAAUAUGUUAUAGUCUGUUUUCCAUAAUUUUUUAGUACUUGGGCCCCAUUCAACUCAACCUGCAUAUUUUCUGACCGAGCAACUCAAAGAGUUUUUAAGAUUACUUCGAUAAGAGAUGAAUGCUCCUGAGAAGCCUGGUUUUUAAUGUGUUGGAGUAUCAAAUGUCUGUCUAUUGAUAUCUCUCAGAUCCUAGUUGUUGUUGGGGUGUCUCUACGUGAGGUAGUUAGCUUAUACAAAGGUAGAA